AGCCUCCUGGACUACAAGUGUGUGCCACCACCCCUGGCUCCUGCUUGUGUGCUUGAUUUGUGGAGCUGAUGCCUACUCCUAGCUGCAAGGGAGGCUGGCAAAGUGAAAUCAUAGCCUCCAUUUGGGAUAGAAGGCAAGAAGGCCUCAAGUGUAUGAAGACUGUAAAAAGGUGCAGCACAGCUAGAAAACAUGACGAAGGUCCAUGGUGCGUAUGUUUAUUAACAAGG
rnacentral:lncRNA from 10 species